GUAGUCCACGCCGUAAACGGUGGGCACUAGGCGUCGGGGGUAUCGACCCCUCCGGUGCCGCAGCUAACGCAUUAAGUGCCCUGCCUGGGGAGUACGGCCGCAAGGCUAAAACUCAAAGGAAUUGACGGGGCCCGCACAAGCAGCGGAGCGUGUGGUUUAAUUCGAUGAAACGCGAAGAACCUUACCUAGGUUUGACAUGCUGGAAGUAGAACCCCGAAAGGGAACGACCCGUAAAAUCGGGAGCCAGCACAGAUGCUGCAUGGCUGUCGUCAGCUCGUGCCGUGAGGUGUUGGGUUAAG
rnacentral:rRNA from 1 species